rnacentral:rRNA from 1 species
UACGUAGGGGGCAAGCGUUGUCCGGAUUUAUUGGGCGUAAAGAGCGUGUAGGCGGCCAGGUAGGUCAGCUGUGAAAACUCGAGGCUCAACCUCGAGACGUCGGUUGAAACCGUCUGGCUAGAGUCCGGAAGAGGAGAGUGGAAUUCCCGGUGUAGCGGUGAAAUGCGCAGAUAUCGGGAAGAACACCCGUGGCGAAGGCGGCUCUCUGGGACGGUACUGACGCUGAGACGCGAAAGCGUGAGGAGCGAACAGG